GGCUUGUUUUAAGUUGCCUGCGAUCUCUUAAUGACUCAGGCAGCUAAAGCAAGUCUG
rnacentral:pre_miRNA from 3 species